rnacentral:rRNA from 1 species
GAUGAACGCUGGCGGCGUGCCUAAUACAUGCAAGUCGAGCGAACAGACGAGGAGCUUGCUCCUCUGACGUUAGCGGCGGACGGGUGAGUAACACGUGGAUAACCUACCUAUAAGACUGGGAUAACUUCGGGAAACCGGAGCUAAUACCGGAUAAUAUAUUGAACCGCAUGGUUCAAUAGUGAAAGACGGUUUUGCUGUCACUUAUAGAUGGAUCCGCGCCGCAUUAGCUAGUUGGUAAGGUAACGGCUUACCAAGGCGACGAUGCGUAGCCGACCUGAGAGGGUGAUCGGCCACACUGGAACUGAGACACGGUCCAGACUCCUACGGGAGGCAGCAGUAGGGAAUCUUCCGCAAUGGGCGAAAGCCUGACGGAGCAACGCCGCGUGAGUGAUGAAGGUCUUCGGAUCGUAAAACUCUGUUAUUAGGGAAGAACAAAUGUGUAAGUAACUAAGCACGUCUUGACGGUACCUAAUCAGAAAGCCACGGCUAACUACGU